rnacentral:misc_RNA from 1 species
GAAAUGAUGCAAUGUCUGAAAUUCUGAUAGAACGCAGUCCAACUGUACCAGCUUUAGAGCAUGUCUUAACCCUGUAGUGGUAGCUGAGAGUGAAGAUGGCAUAGAGCAAAGAAACUGCAGUCCACUUGUUAGACCUCGUGUAUUUGAAACUUGUUCAAGAAUACACCGACCAACAUGUCUCGCAUUAUCGUUGGGAUCCACGAGCAGAAGAAUCAAACUGUCACUCAUCAUUGGCUCCCAUGUCCACUGCUUCCUUAGCUCUCCUUGCUCCAUUCUGAUGAUAAAAUGAGCAGUCGACCUCUUGAAAAGCCUAAUUAGAGGCAUACACUUUGUUGA